GACGAACGCUGGCGGCGUGCUUAACACAUGCAAGUCGAACGGAAAGGCCCUGCUUUUGUGGGGUGCUCGAGUGGCGAACGGGUGAGUAACACGUGAGUAACCUGCCCUUGACUUUGGGAUAACUUCAGGAAACUGGGGCUAAUACCGGAUAGGAGCUCCUGCUGCAUGGUGGGGGUUGGAAAGUUUCGGCGGUUGGGGAUGGACUCGCGGCUUAUCAGCUUGUUGGUGGGGUAGUGGCUUACCAAGGCUUUGACGGGUGGCCGGCCUGAGAGGGUGACCGGCCACAUUGGGACUGAGAUACGGCGCAGACUCCUACGGGAGGCAGCAGUGGGGAAUAUUGCACAAUGGGCGGAAGCCUGAUGCAGCAACGCCGCGUGCGGGAUGACGGCCUUCGGGUUGUAAACCGCUGUCGCCUGUGACGAAGCGUGAGUGACGGUAAUGGGUAAAGAAGCACCGGCUAACUACGUG
rnacentral:rRNA from 1 species